GCGGAGGAAAAGAAACCAACCGGGAUUGCCCUAGUAACGGCGAGUGAAGCGGCAACAGCUCAAAUUUGAAAGCUAGCCUUCGGGUUCGCAUUGUAAUUUGUAGAGGAUGCUUUGGGUAAAACGCCAGUCUAAGUUCCUUGGAACAGGACGUCAUAGAGGGUGAGAAUCCCGUAUGUGACUGGAAAUGUUGACCUAUGUAAAGCUCCUUCGACGAGUCGAGUUGUUUGGGAAUGCAGCUCUAAAUGGGAGGUAAAUUUCUUCUAAAGCUAAAUAUUGGCGAGAGACCGAUAGCGCACAAGUAGAGUGAUCGAAAGAUGAAAAGCACUUUGGAAAGAGAGUUAAAAAGCACGUGAAAUUGUUGAAAGGGAAGCGCUUGCAAUCAGACUUGUUUAAACUGUUCGGCCGGUCUUCUGACCGGUUUACUCAGUUUGGACAGGCCAGCAUCAGUUUCGGCGGCCGGAUAAAGGCUCUGGGAAUGUGGCCUCCACUUCGGUGGAGGUGUUAUAGCCCAGUGUGUAAUACGGCCAGCCGGGACUGAGGUCCGCGCUUCGGCUAGGAUGCUGGCGUAAUGGUUGUAAGCGACCCGU
rnacentral:rRNA from 1 species